rnacentral:rRNA from 1 species
CCUACGGGUGUCAGCAGUGGGGAAUAUUGGGCAAUGGGCGCAAGCCUGACCCAGCAAUGCCGCGUGAAGGCAGAAGGCUUUCGGGUUGUACACUUCUUUGAUAGGGGAAGAGCAGAAGACGGUACCCUGAAAACAAGCCACGGCUAACUACGUGCCAGCAGCCGCGGUAAUACGGAGGUGGCAAGCGUUGUCCGGAUUUACUGGGUGUAAAGGGCGUGUAGCCGGUAAGGCAAGUCAGUUGUGAAAUCCGGAGGCUCAACCUACGAAUUGCAUUUGAAACUGUUUUUCGUGAGUACUGUUGAGGCAGACGGAAUUCCUGGUGUAGCGGUGAAAUGCGUAGAGAUAAGGAAGAACACCGGUUGCGAAGGCAGUCUGCUGGACAGCAACUGACAGUGAGGCGCGAAAGCGUGGGGAGCAAACAGGAUUAGAUACCCCUGUAGUC